GACGAACGCUGGCGGCGUGCCUAAUACAUGCAAGUCGAACGCAGGAAACUGACGGAACUCUUCGGAGGGAAGGCAGUGGAAUGAGCGGCGGACGGGUGAGUAACACGUAAGGAACCUGCCUCAAGGAUUGGGAUAACUCCGAGAAAUCGGAGCUAAUACCGGAUAGUUCAUCGGACCGCAUGGUCCGUUGAUGAAAGGCGCUCCGGCGUCACCUUGAGAUGGCCUUGCGGUGCAUUAGCUAGUUGGUGGGGUAACGGCCCAUCAAGGCGACGAUGCAUAGCCGACCUGAGAGGGUGAUCGGCCACACUGGGACUGAGACACGGCCCAGACUCCGACGGGAGGCAGCAGUAGGGAAUCUUCCACAAUGGACGAAAGUCUGAUGGAGCAACGCCGCGUGAGUGAUGAAGGUUUUCGGAUCGUAAAACUCUGUUGUAAGGGAAGAACACGUACGAGAGGAAAUGCUCGUACCUUGACGGUACCUUACGAGAAAGCCACGGCUAACUACGUGCCAGCAGCCGCAGUAA
rnacentral:rRNA from 1 species